CCUUUCUUCACACUGCACCCAGGUCUGGGCUCUGCAACAGCCCUCUGAGAACCUGGGUGAGUCAGUGCUCAGCACAGCGAAUGUGGGAGAGACUAUGAGGGAAUUUUCCUACAUUGCAAUAUACUUUUGCCAGGGACAAUACGUUCAUAGGUAUAAUCCAGAUAAAAAUCUCCUGCAAUCCAGAUAAAAAUCUCCAGGCCAGUUUUGCUGAAGAUAAGAGAAGUAAUCCUCAUGGGAAUGCAGCAAAUACCUGCCAAAUUUCUGACUGAGCAGAAGGUCAUAAAGCAAAAAUAACUCAGAAAAGCAGAGGCAUAUAUAAGCAUCAGAAUGAGAGGUGAGAAUUAAAAGCAGCUUUUGUACAUAUGGGAGUGGAAAACAGCUGAAUAAAACAAACUCAACAUUAAUGCCAGCAUGGUUUUCUGCCUAACAAAAUGCAAAGCCAUAUGUGUGGACCAAAAGAAAAUGGCUGCAAGAAGAGCUGGAAGAAAAGUCAGAAAGAAAAGGAACAGAAGGUGAGUUGGGAGCAGCAACCAGUGGAUGCUGCCAGGAUCUCUGAAACCAUAAAGAGUGUAAGACUAUGUGGGACAAGAACAAGAGUGCAUUGUGAUGUGCUUGUGUUCAGUGAACACUCAGAGUAACAGCAACACAGUUCUGUGGACUGAAAUUCAACCAGUGAUACAGCCUAGUCACAGAUAGGUCAAUACUUCUGCUGUCAUGGAUAACAGAUGAUCUGUCCGAAGGGACCAGGAGCCAUCUGCUUAUGUCCUGAUCUACAAAGCUCCACAACCUGAGAGAACAAGGAACCUGGGAGCCUAAAAUGUUGCCUCUCUUGUCCAUUAAAAGUCUGACAAAACUUUCCCUGGCAAGAGUGAUUUCCCUGGGCUGCUCAGUCCACUGCACGGUUGUAGCUGUGUUUCUGUGGAUAUGUCAUCAUUCUUGCUUUCUGCUGCUGAAGGCUUGUUCUUCCUCAUACCUGGUUCAUCUGUGUUAUUUUGGAUUCACUUAUAUUGUAUUCUCCAUGGUUUUCCUUUACCAAGAGUUUGUGUUUGCCUUGCUCCUGGCUUGAUAAUCUGUGAAGGUCCCUGACCAUUCCUGACCACUGGACAACCUCAGGCCAUCCUUAUUGCUCAGACUUCUGGCCUCAGCUGCACCUUGUUUAAGGGCGCUGGUCACAAGCCUGAGAAGAUUGAGCUUGUCCCCUCACACCACUAAUGAGAGCACACCGAUCAACACCGUGAUUAAUUGGCUCCUCAGCCCACUGCUUCACCUUCCUGGCAGAUCCUGGCCAGCCUAAUUGUGGAAGGUUUCAUGGCAAGAAUUGAAUGCUGAUAGAAAUGAACUGCCCCAGUUGAAUGAAGCAUGACCUGUGUACACCUCUCCAUUGAACGGGAGUCACUUAGGUGAAUUACUAUUAACACAGGAAAAAUCAAAGCAAUGCAAUUACAUUUACAAACUGUAGCUGUGUUUGAUGGAGAGUAGCAAUGGGGAACAGAGCGACACGGAUCCCCUUAUGCAUCCAAAGGAGAUCGGUUUAUUGUAGACAUCUCACACUUUUUAUACCUUUAAUCUCCACCUGACACAACUCAAACCCAAAGGAGACCUAACAGAACUCAACAGAAGGAAGGCAGUGAUUGGCUGGCCCAGCUGCAGUGCUGCUGUCCACACAUCCUACCAGCCAAUCAUCGUUCUGCUCAUGCGCUGUCCAUGUGUUCCUCCAUCCAAUCACCUUUCUGCUCAUACACUCUCCAUACGUCCCUGCAGCCAAUCACCUUUCUGCUCAUACGCUGUCCACACGUCCCUCCAGCCAAUCACCUUUCUGCUCAUACGCUGUCCACGUGUCCCUCCAUCCAAUCACCUUUCUGCUCAUACGCUCGCCACACGUCCCUCCAGCCAAUCACCUUUCUGCUCAUAUGCUGUCCACACAUCCUACCAUCCAAUCUCCUUUCUGCUCAUACGCUGUCCACACAUCCUACCAUCCAAUCACAAUCUCACUUCCAGCUGUCCCUCAGCUGACUCUCUCCUCACUCCCUCUCAUCCCUCAUCCAACUCCAAACGCCCGGCCUGCAGCCGUGCCUUUCCCGUCGGGCCUUCUGGUCAGCAUCGGCCUUGAACACUUGCACAGUUAUAAACCAAACCCUACAACGGAGGUAUCUAAUGAGACAACCAGAAUGGAGUGUUGUGGCUUGCACGGUGCUGAGCAGGAGCAGGAGCAGACUCUGACAGCCCCACUUUUCAACAGGGCCUGUUCACAUUGAAUGUGAUGAGUGUGUGGGUUCCUCUGUGGCGCAAGCUCGCCAAAGAGGGCUGCCAGAAGCAAGUGAAAUUGUGAUGUCCCACUGCUGCUUGCUAGCAGCAGCAUGUGU